AGGAAUUGAGUCUCAGGAAUUGAUCCGACGCAGCCUUGCAAAUCCUUUGUUGCGUUAGACAAUAUUCCCGUGGACAUUAUGAGAGAGGAAGAUAAUCUAAAUAGGAAAUCUCAUCACCAAUCAUUGUUGUCACCAAAAUGCCGGCCCUUGACAACGAGAGACGACUUCUGUCGUGGACAACUUUGAAAGUGAUGAACGUUCGGGCCGGUGGUGGACAGAUGUCUCCACAAUCCUAUGGCUUAUAGGAAAGGUGACUCAUUCAACCCUGAGCUCCUGCGACAACCUUUUAGCCUCCCCGAGGAAGAGGCGGAAGUCAGCGUUGUACGGGAAAGUUAAACCAACACCCAUUCACGCAUCACCCUUCAACGAGGACACAGUCACGUUUCGGAUCUCGAGGAGACAAGUAAAAACUUUGGACCUCUCUGAGGAGGAACCACCUGCCAUUGCUAAGUGCUGGGACUUUGCCAUUGUUGUGGUGCCAAGAAGUGGGAACUGUUUUGAACAACAGAGAUCGUCAUCGUAUGGGAGUAGGAAACCCAGGAAGCCGUGCAGAAGAGCAAGAGGAUCUGGGAAGUGCCGAGUCUGAGUACAGCACUUAGUCACUCUGUUAGUGGACCUUCAAUCCCGUCGAGUGGACAUCAUCCGAGGAUCUCCGUUGGACCAUCUCUGGCUGAUGUUUGUAGACCUGAAUUUCCAUGGGCUUUUGACAAUGGGCGUAAGUGCUGUCGCACAUAUUCCGUGACCAAUCGAUCUCAACCCUUGCAAUACGAAGAUUCCCCAUCAAAAUGCAUGAAUAGCAAUUGGAUUGAUUGUCCAAAUACUAAAUAUUCUUGCGUCUCUUUUUCCAACCCACGUGAGUUGUCCUGAACGGUCAUUUUUUCUACCUAGGUCAAUAGUCCUUCCUGUAUUUUUUCUACUUUGCAGACACCUGUUCGCAACCUUCUUCAGUGGGUUUGGACGCAGGGUGCUGCACCGCUGCUCUUGAACGCUGGGCAGAGAAUGAAAACCCUCCUUGUCGAGGAUUCAAGAUUCAAGAAAAUACCCCUGCCUCUUGUUGUCCAUCGGAGCACUUUACUUUUAUUCAAAAGUGUGCUGACAGCCGGCAAAGAUGCCUUAGUUUGGGUCCAUUACCUCAUGUGCUGAAUCCCAUUAAGCAAACAGUGAUAGAGGAGGAAACUUGGUCCGGCUAUGAUGCUUCAUUUGCGCUGGUAAACUCAGUCUGUGACCUUUUCCGUAUAAACUAUUGGGUGGCACUUCCAGAAGAUUCGUAUUUUAUCAUGGAUUGGGGCUAUCAUCUGGUCCCGCAGAAGCUCAUCCUAAGAAACAGUCACAACGCUGAUAGUAAC